UGGUCAUCCAUGGAGGAAUUGAUGGGUUUAGCAGGAAGAUAGUUUUCCUUAGAGCUGCCAACAACAACAUGGCAUCAACAGUCCUUGAUUGCUUUCUGGAGGCAGUCCAGAAUCAUGGUUUGCCACGAUGCGUCCGCAGUGACAAAGGGGGUGAAAACGUGGAGGUGGCCAGGUAUAUGCUGGAGAAUCCAGAACGGGGACCAGAAUGCAGAAGCUUCAUCACUGGAAGAAGUGUUCACAAUCAGAGAAUAGAAAGGUUAUGGCGUGAUCUCUGAUGUGUUGUAGUUAAUAACUACUACGCAGCCUUCAGACACCUGGAGGAAAAUGGCAUGUUGGAUCCUGAUGAAGACCUACAUGUUAUCUGCCUGCAUUAUGUAAUGCUUCCCAGGAUCAAUUGGCACCUCCAACUGUUCAUUCAGACCUGGGACCAUCAUCCUCUGUCUUCGGAGGGUAACCGAUCACCUCAACAGCUGUGGGUUGCAGGACAGCUGUUGGAUGAACUGCAGACUCCAGAGCAGAUUGAGGAUGCUGAUUGGGGCAUCGACUGGGAUGGACCUGUUGGUCAACCCGAUGACCAGCGACAGGUUAAUGUCCCAGCUGCUCCAACUACUUUAAAAGAACAAAUUGAGGCCCAUCUGAGGGACAAUAUCGACCCGUUCCUGACCAGUGAUGUGUUUGGGAUAGAUAUCUACACAGAGGCUGUAAUAUUGUCUCAAGAACUUCUGGCCAGUUAGCCUAAUACUGCAGCCUUUUAACACCCAGACCAGUAAAGUCUUUAGCAUAGACGUUUACAUGUAGGCCAUAAGUCUAAUACAAAAUAGGAUGUGAAGGAACACAGGACACAAUUUAGGGUGUAAACACAUGGGGGACAUUUGUUUUCAACUACGUUUUCAA